GUCUCUCAUUUUCCAAGCUUGCUGCUUUCCAAACUGCUGUCAGGGAUUAAGGCUUGAGUACAGGUGGUCCACAGUAGCCCCUUUUGUAAUUUGGACUUUAUUUGAGAUGCCCGGUGCUAGGCUUGUGAGAUGGAGAAGUUUUUCUGGCAGAGCUGACAGCAAGUCUUCAACAUGAAGACUUUUUUUUUUUUUUUUGAUCUGGUGUCUAUUUAAUUGACAGUUUCAACUCUGCAUGAACCAGGAAGUUUGGCCACUUAGCUUCCUUGUGAUCUCGGGAGAAGGAGGUGAGGAAUGAACACGCUUGAUAGGAAAGAGAGAUGGAAGGAAGAGAUCUCUUGGAAAGCCAGUGGUGGUGCCGAGGGGACCUGACCACGGCUCACUGCCGGCGCG
ensembl:lncRNA